rnacentral:rRNA from 1 species
CUCCUACGGGAGGCAGCAGUGGGGAAUAUUGCACAAUGGGGGAAACCCUGAUGCAGCCAUGCCGCGUGUGUGAAGAAGGCCUUCGGGUUGUAAAGCACUUUCAGUAGGGAGGAAGGUAGUGUAGUUAACACCUGCACUACUUUGACGUUACCUACAGAAGAAGCACCGGCUAACUCCGUGCCAGCAGCCGCGGUAAUACGGAGGGUGCGAGCGUUAAUCGGAAUUACUGGGCGUAAAGCGCAUGCAGGCGGCCUGUUAAGUCAGAUGUGAAAGCCCGGGGCUUAACCUCGGAAUUGCAUUUGAAACUGGCAGGCUAGAGUCUUGUAGAGGGGGGUAAGAAUUUCAGGUGUAGCGGUGAAAUGCGUAGAGAUCUG